rnacentral:rRNA from 1 species
UACGUAGGGUGCGAGCGUUGUCCGGAAUUACUGGGCGUAAAGAGCUCGUAGGUGGUUUGUCGCGUUGUCCGUGAAAACUCACAGCUCAACUGUGGGCGUGCGGGCGAUACGGGCAGACUGGAGUACUGCAGGGGAGACUGGAAUUCCUGGUGUAGCGGUGGAAUGCGCAGAUAUCAGGAGGAACACUGGUGGCGAAGGCGGGUCUCUGGGCAGUAACUGACGCUGAGGAGCGAAAGCGUGGGGAGCGAACAGG